GUAACGGCGAGUGAAGCGGCAACAGCUCAAAUUUGAAAUCUGGCCCCCAGGGCCCGAGUUGUAAUUUGCAGAGGAUGCUUUUGGCGCGGUGCCUUCCGAGUUCCCUGGAACGGGACGCCAUAGAGGGUGAGAGCCCCGUCUGGUCGGACACCAAGCCAGUGUAAAGCUCCUUCGACGAGUCGAGUAGUUUGGGAAUGCUGCUCUAAAUGGGAGGUAUAUGUCUUCUAAAGCUAAAUACCGGCCAGAGACCGAUAGCGCACAAGUAGAGUGAUCGAAAGAUGAAAAGCACUUUGAAAAGAGGGUUAAACAGUACGUGAAAUUGUUGAAAGGGAAGCGUUUAUGACCAGACUUGGGCCCGGUGAAUCAUCCAGCGUUCUCGCUGGUGCACUUUGCCGGGCUCAGGCCAGCAUCAGUUCGUCGCGGGGGAUAAAAGCUUCGGGAACGUGGCUCCCUCGGGAGUGUUAUAGCCCGUUGCAUAAUACCCUGCGGUGGACUGAGGUUCGCGCUCCGCAAGGAUGCUGGCGUAAUGGUCAUCAGCGACCCGUCUUGAAACACGGACCAAGGAGUCGUCUUCGUAUGCGAGUGUUCGGGUGUAAAACCCCUACGCGUAAUGAAAGUGAACGCAGGUGAGAGCUUCGGCGCAUCAUCGACCGAUCCUGAUGUUCUCGGAUGGAUUUGAGUAAGAGCAUACGGGGCCGGACCCGAAAGAAGGUGAACUAUGCCUGUAUAGGGUGAAGCCAGAGGAAACUCUGGUGGAGGCUCGCAGCGGUUCUGACGUGCAAAUCGAUCGUCAAAUAUGGGCAUG
rnacentral:rRNA from 1 species